ensembl:snRNA U6 U6 spliceosomal RNA
GCUUGCUUUGGCAGACAAAUACUAAAAUUGGAAUGAUACAGAGAAAAGUAGUAUGACUCCUGCACAAGGAUGACACAUAAACUCAUGAAGUGUUCCAUAUUUGU